rnacentral:rRNA from 1 species
UUGCUGGGUGGAUUAGUGGCGAACGGGUGAGUAACACGUGAGUAACCUGCCCCUGACUCUGGGAUAAGCGUUGGAAACGACGUCUAAUACUGGAUAUGAUCACUGGCCGCAUGGUCUGGUGGUGGAAAGAUUUUUUGGUUGGGGAUGGACUCGCGGCCUAUCAGCUUGUUGGUGAGGUAAUGGCUCACCAAGGCGACGACGGGUAGCCGGCCUGAGAGGGUGACCGGCCACACUGGGACUGAGACACGGCCCAGACUCCUACGGGAGGCAGCAGUGGGGAAUAUUGCACAAUGGGCGAAAGCCUGAUGCAGCAACGCCGCGUGAGGGAUGACGGCCUUCGGGUUGUAAACCUCUUUUAGUAGGGAAGAAGCGAAAGUGACGGUACCUGCAGAAAAAGCACCGGCUAACUACGUGCCAGCAGCCGCGGUAAUACGUAGGGUGCAAGCGUUGUCCGGAAUUAUUGGGCGUAAAGAGCUCGUAGGCGGUUUGUCGCGUCUGCUGUGAAAUCCCGAGGCUCAACCUCGGGCUUGCAGUGGGUACGGGCAGACUAGAGUGCGGUAGGGGAGAUUGGAAUUCCUGGUGUAGCGGUGGAAUGCGCAGAUAUCAGGAGGAACACCGAUGGCGAAGGCAGAUCUCUGGGCCGUAACUGACGCUGAGGAGCGAAAGCAUGGGGAGCGAACAGGAUUAGAUACCCUGGUAGUCCAUGCCGUAAACGUUGGGCGCUAGAUGUAGGGACCUUUCCACGGUUUCUGUGUCGUAGCUAACGCAUUAAGCGCCCCGCCUGGGGAGUACGGCCGCAAGGCUAAAACUCAAAGGAAUUGACGGGGGCCCGCACAAGCGGCGGAGCAUGCGGAUUAAUUCGAUGCAACGCGAAGAACCUUACCAAGGCUUGACAUACACCGGAAACGGCCAGAGAUGGUCGCCCCCUUGUGGUCGGUGUACAGGUGGUGCAUGGUUGUCGUCAGCUCGUGUCGUGAGAUGUUGGGGUUAAGUCCCGCAACGAGCGCAACCCUCGUUCUAUGUUGCCAGCGGGUUAUGCCGGGGACUCAUAGGAGACUGCCGGGGUCAACUCGGAGGAAGGUGGGGAUGACGUCAAAUCAUCAUGCCCCUUAUGUCUUGGGCUUCACGCAUGCUACAAUGGCCGGUACAAAGGGCUGCGAUACCGUAAGGUGGAGCGAAUCCCAAAAAGCCGGUCUCAGUUCGGAUUGAGGUCUGCAACUCGACCUCAUGAAGUCGGAGUCGCUAGUAAUCGCAGAUCAGCAACGCUGCGGUGAAUACGUUCCCGGGCCUUGUACACACCGCCCGUCAAGUCAUGAAAGUCGGUAACACCCGAAGCCGGUGCC